CAGUCUAUAGAAGUUUUAUAGAAGUUCACACCGUCGAUUGUUUACAAUGUGUUGGUUUGACGGCGAUGGUGUCAACCUCAAAAUCCAAGUCUGUCACAGAAUUGCGUGUACACCGACACAGUGUUGCAUUGACACCGAUGUAAUGUUGAAUUGACACCGAUGGUGUCAAUCUGAUGUCGAAAGCUCUUACGCGUACAAGUUUUAACAUGCCGCAAGUCCUUAGCCCGCAGUCAGAGAAGCUCAGUUUCCUCCACGCGCGCUUACAAGCAGUCGCUUCGCAUUUCAGGUAAAACGUGUUGCCUGCCUCGUGUAUGGUUCUAAUUAUGUCGGAAUCAGAUUUUGUUAAUGUUUUUACCGUGACUUUGCUUAAUAUGGGUGGCCCUGAAAUGGAAAAUGUGUUGAUUGAUAGUGCGCAGCAAGCAGCAAAUGUGCAGGAUGCACCGGAUAGUGGUGACAUUGUUACCGGGACAUCUUUCCAGUUGCGAAAGGGAUGAUACAACGGGGAGACUAAAUGGAUAAAAGUGCUCACUCCCAAUGGCAAGCCCUUGGAAUAGAAUGAUUUUAUUAUUGCAGGAAAUAUUCUAUGACCCUAAAGGCCGGUCAGGUUACAUCUCCUGGAGACUGCGCACCCUCAAUAGACGUCGUCAGGUGCCAAGUAAAGAAGUUAAAAUUGAGCAGAAAGAAAACGUUCGACCCCCAAAAAUGUGUACCCUCACAAUGAGGAAAGUGCGCAAGGACAGUUGAUCUUCCUCCGCAAUGCCUGUCCUAAGACACAAAAGAAAGAAAUUUUAUUGGCACAGGCGGAGGCAAAUUUGAUAGGUAUGACAAUUUUAUAUCUGAAUUUUUGUUAGUGAGAAGCGAUUUUCAAUUUAAUCCAUCCGAUAGAAUAUUCGUGGU